GUGAGGCGGCCGUUGCUAUGGCGGGGCCGGAGAGUAGCGAGCCGGGCCCAGGCGGGGCGGCCUGAAGGCCGCUGUCGUGCCGGGUGGGUGGGACAUCAGGAUUCCCCCGCUGGUUGUGGGGUCAAACAUGCGGAGGGUGGAGGCUGCCGGUUUGAGAGGCUGUGCUGGAGAGCGAGCGCCGCCCGUCGGCGGGAAGAGUGGCUCCCGUUUGCUGCUGAGGAAAGGUGCUGCGGAAGAUGAGGCAGGUGGUGUGCCACUUACGUUGAAUUUGUUCCAUUGAAUGUAAUCAGACUCCAGGGUUGAAAACAAGAGGAAAGCAGUUAGACAGACUUUACAGCCAGAGGGCCAACCUAUGAAGGAGACAUCCGCACCUUCAACUCCCUCAUCAGGCUAUUCACAGCAGCAUCAUUUGAGAAUUUUAAAGAUUUUGAAUAUCCUUUGUGUACCAUUGAAACCAGCCUGCUCCUUUUGCUGGGAAUCAUCAUGUUGAAUAUGGUUCAGGUCUUGCUCAAGGUUAGACAACUAUCCAAGAAUACCACCAGGAGAUCUUCUCUGAGGCUGGACAGUUACGAGUGGCAGGAUGCGUGGGAUAGUAUGGCCAAGUUCUUAGGCCAGUGGACCCCUCCAGUGCUUUGGAACUUCACAACUGAACAAGUGUGAAAUCUGGAACAACUAGUAAAAUAUUUGGAAAAAGUGUGCUGUUGUUCUACCAAUACCAGAGAGGGACAAAUCACUGACUGCAACAUGCUGGGGCUUGGCCUAUGCCUAUAGAGUCCUGAUCAACACUACCCAGUACCCUCAAGGUGAAAAAGAUGUCCUGGAUCUGAUGGCAAAGCAACACAUAAUGCGACAACUGUGUCCCUGACCGUAAGCACAGCAGCUACCCCAACUCCAGUGACAAGCACAACAGCUACUCCAACUCCAACAACAGAGACUGCAGCCACUCCAACCCCAGUCACAGGCACUGCAGCUGAACCAAAGGACUGAUCCAUUCUGCUAUCAGCUUCGUGUAGUGCAGGAAGAUGAAGAGUCGUCAAUGCCAGAACUAGAGGGAGCAACACCAGAAAAACAGGAAUCAGUACAAGAAACAGGAAGAGGCAGAACAAGAGGUAACUUCUCAAUCUCUGUCUUUGACUGAGCUGCAGAAUAUGUGAAAAGAUUUCACCCGUCUUCCAGGUGAGCAUAUCACCACCUGGAUGUUCUGAUGCUGGGACAAUGGAGCAAACAGUCACAAACUAGGAGGGGAAGCCAAGCAGAUGGGAUCACUUGCUAGGGAAGGGGGAACUGACAACAGCAAUUGCGAAAGAGAAACAAGUUCCCAGCCUUGGCAGAGUGAAGGAAAGGUUGCCCUGCAAGUGUGAUGUUAUGAGUCACUCAGGCAAGUGGGCCAUGAUAGAGAAAGGCCUCCAGUACCUAAGGGAAUCAGCCAUUCUAGAGACGAUGUUUGUAGGCCAGAUGCCAGGAAUGCACCCAUAGAUCCAGAUGGAAGUCAAACGUACACAAUCCAUGUGGCAGAAAUUUACAUGGAGUGAGCCAUCAUCAUACCCCGACUCAAUGGCAUCAAUGAGCUGGAGGGAUGCAGUGGCACCAAUAGUGGAUGAAGUAAGUCAUUAGCUCUGGGAGUCUGGAGACAAUCUCACCCCUUCCAUCAUUUCAGCUGUGGAAAAACUCCUGUCCCAGGAGUUCAAACAACUGAGAGACAGCUCCAGCUCACUACAUGUGCAGACUCACAUCUCAGCUAGUAACAGUAAGUGCCCUGUUGCUCAAGAGGAUAGAUAUAGGAGGUACACGCCACAGGGCACUCUAUGGUUUUACUCGAAGGGUCACAGAGAAGACAAAAGAAAGUAGGAAGGAAAACCUACCUCAGUUCUGGAGGAAUGGGUAUGUGAACUGCAAAGAAAAACAACAGUGAAUAGAGAUCCUCCCAAGAAAGUUGCUGCUCUCUUGUGGGCUGUUUACCAAAUGGAGUGAAAAAUCUGAUUUUACAGUGAUUCCUAUGGAAAGGAAUCCUAAUCCCUUGUAUAAGAAGUAAGUGGAGGAUCUUACUAGCACUAUUAGAGAGGCCCUGCCUCCAGCCAGGUGGAGGUAGGGAACAAUCAGAUUUACUGGACUUUGUGGAUCAGAUGGCCUGGCACAUCAGUCCCAUAGAAGUAAAAGGCUCUAAUAGAUAUCAGUGCCUAGUGUUCCCUGACGCCAUCAGGCUGCCAAGGGGUGGAACCCACUUGUAUUUCCAAGAGUUGACUGUGCUGAAGCCUGAAAUCAGCCUAACUGGGAAGGAGUGGCAAAAGCAUGCUAUUGUCACUGCUCCAGAGGCUCCAUGCAUCCUUGGCAUAGACUACCUCAGGAGAGGGUACUUCAAAGACCCAAAAGGGUACCGAUGAGCUUUUGGAAUUGCUGUAUUGAAGACAGAGGAAAUUGAGCAGCUGUCCACCUUGCCUGGUCUCUCAGCGGAUUCUUCUGUUGUGGGGUUGCUGAAGGUCAAAGAACGACAAGUGCCAUUCAUAAACACAAGAAUGCACUGGCAGCAAUAUCACACCAACUGAGACUCCCUGAUUUCCAUCUGUAAACUGACCCAUAGACUGGAGAGCCAAGGAGUGAUCAGCAGGAUCCACUCACCCUUCAGUAGCCCCAUACGACCAGUGCGAAAGUCUAAUGAAGAGAGCAGACUAACAGUAGACUAUCAUGGCCUGAAUGAAGUCACUACCCUUGAGUGCUGCCAUAUUGGACAUGCUAGAACUUCAGUGUGAACUGGAGUCAAAGGCAGCCAAUUGGUGUGCCAUGACUGAUAUUGCCAAUGCAUUUUUCUCAAUUCCUUUGGCAGCAGAGUGCAGGCCAUAGUUUGCUUUUACUUGGAGAGGCGUCUAGUACUCUUGGAACCGACUGUCCCAGGGGUGGAAACACAGCCCCUACCAUCUGCCAUGGACUUAUCCAGACUGCACUGGAACAGGGGCAAGCUCCAGAACACCCGCAAUACAUUGAUGACUUUACUGUGUGGGGUGAUACAGUGGAAGAAGUUUUUGAGAAAGGGAAGAAAAUAAUCCAAGUCCUCCUGAAAGCCAUAAAACAGAGUAAUGUUUUUCAAGGAAACUACACAGGAACUCUGUCCUGUAUGGUUUAUCGUGUCCCUUUAAUUCUAAACUCAUAUUAGAGUAAGCUCUAUUGUGACACAGAAUCAUAGAAAGGUUUGGAUUGUAAUGGACCUUAAAGAUCAGUCUUUAUCCCUUCCUUUUCUUGUUAGAAAAGAAAAGAAAGCUGAAACUUGGAGAUUGCAAUGUAAGAGAUUCUAGAAGGUACUGUCUGAGGCAUUGUUUCAUGACCUGAAUGACUCAACAGUUGUUUUGCUAGCUGUAACACUGAUAGGGAAUAAAGCUAUACAUAGGCAAUGCUCAAGAAUAUUUGUUCACUGUGCUUCGAGUAUUGCAUUUUUUUUCCUGUAAGACCUGAUAUUAGUAAUAACUUAGCUUCUGUUCUCUAGGAUCUGUUC